GAAAGGCCUCCAUGAGAUCCAGCUGUAAGGCAUUUUCUCAAUUAGUGAUCAGUGGGGGAGGGCCAGCCCAUGGUGGGUGGUGCCAUCUCUGGGCUGCUGGUCCUG
rnacentral:miRNA from 1 species